rnacentral:lncRNA from 1 species
CUGCUCAGGCCUCACCCCACACCUGGUGAACCCUGAUCUCGGCCGGGUGCUCAGCUCUGGAGGGCUUGCAAAGUCCUGCAAGUGUCUGUGCAUGGAGAAGGUAUAGGUGGAAAAAGCAGGUUAUAUCUAGACUUCUUAUAGUCCAACUUGCAAUGAAUAUAUGUUCAGACUAACUCUUCAUUAAGAAGAAAUGUUAAUGAAGCACACUUUCUAGAGGCUGGUAUCUUCUUCUAAACCAAAAGGAAAAAAAAAAAAGACAAGGGCAUGAAUAGUGAAGUUGUCAGGUAACAUUUUCUUGUUUCAAUAAUUUUACUUUUUGAAUACUUUAGAAAAUAAAGCCAUGUUUUAACUGAGAUUAUUAACUAAGUACAAAACUAUGUGUUGUUUUAUUUGUAGAUGCAGAAUAUUACAAAUAUCUGCAGCAAGCCCAUGAAGUAUUUCUAUUGUCCAUAUCAAUAUUUUAGUAUAAAAUAUAUGCAAAUGUUUCAAUUAAACAAAACCAAGGAAUUCAAAACAAGCUGCAGAGAAACAUGCAAUGAAGGCUGAAAUUUAUAAAUUAAAAAUACCAUCUAUACAUAAUGUACAGUCAUGCAUUUAGAAAUGAAUAUUAUAUGUCUCAAGAGUAAAUUUUCACAGGCAAAUGCUGCUGCAAAAAUGUUUGCUAAUACAAAGGGAUGAGAUUUUAGUACAUUCUGCAUUAAUAUUUUAACCCAAGAAGUUGAAAUUUGGUAUUUUUUUCUUCCAAGCUGUCCAAAAAUCUACAGGAGUAAAAUCCCAAUUUUUUGUGCAUCUCAUUUGAAGUGUUUUACCAGGAACACAUUUUCCAAACUUCAGGUAAAACAAAUAUUUUAUUAGCUAGAAAAAUUCUAUAAAGAUAAACUUCUCCUUGCCCUUUUGGUUAUGCUGACUAGUUUUUAAAUAAUAAAUUGGCUCCUUAGCAUUCUUUACAAGUGAUUAAUGAGUUUACUUUUUCAGGUAUCACACUAGAUUUAUGCAUUUAAGUAUGCUUGAUAUAUAUCAGUAUAUUUCAUUUGUUAUUCUACUGAUGUUCAAAUUAUCCCAUCUUUGAUGAGUUGGAUCCUCUUUAAACGGGUUUGGAUAGAACUCUGGAAGUUUUUCAAGAUAGUGGCUUGACUAAGUCGUUUUAAUGGAAAUAUUCAACAGGUUGCUGGGCUUAGAAAGGCAGAAAGAGCCAACUAAUUGAAGGCUCCCUUCUCAGAUGGCAUUUGGUGUAGUGGCACCAAAUGAUUUCCUUGCCUUCCUGUUAUCUGAUUUGUUCACAUUUUAAUUCCUUGUUUCAUUGCAAGGUAUCUCGUGCCUAGCCAGUAUGUCCUGAGUUUCUCUCUCUGUUCCUCCAAGAAAACUUUGAAAGCAGUUAUACUUCUCUAUUGAGAGCAUAGUGCGCUAUUGACUUGUGAGUACAGUUAACGCACGCCUUCCUUUUCUCAGAGAUUUGCUAAGCACCUACUAAUGUGGCCGGUAUCAAAGAGGAUAAGACAGACAUGAGUUUGCUCAUGAUGACUUUCACAUUCUGUAGCAGAAGUCAGAGGAAGAACAAUGGACAAAUACAGAGCCUCGCGGUACCUGGAGGAAUUUGUUCUGUGAUGAAAGCAGUAAUGUGAUAGAGACUGGAGCAGGGAACUUCCUUAGCUUGUGUGGUCAGACAAAUCUCUUAAGAUUUGAGCCUCAUGAAGACCCAAGGGGAGUGAUGUCCAGGCAGAAGAAACAAGUGCAAAGGCCCUCAGGUGGGGAUGUGUGUGGUGUGUCAAAAGAGAAAGAGCACACUUAUCUCACUUAGUGGGACUGCACUAUACUAAAAUAUAAUUGGCCCCCAAGUAUCUAAGGAUUUGCUUCUUUGUUAGUUUACUCAUUUAUGCUUAGCCUGGUUCCGAAAAAGAUUUGAAAUAGCUCUUUGAAUGUUGCUGUUCCUUACAGGGCCUAUGGAUUUGAGACAAAUAAAAGUGAGUCCUGUAGCUGCAAAAGGCCAACAAACAACUGAAACAGGGCAUUAAGUCUAUCAUCCAGGAUAUGUCACUUAAUAAAUUAUUUUUAAGAAAAUUGUUGCACUGAAUUUAAUUUCAAAUCAGCAGACCCACUAUAUUCUCUAAUUAAUCAUGGCACAUACUAUUUACCAAACUCCUGUUAAAAACAAAUUUCUUUUGUACACAUUACAAAGAAAUGUUACAUAAAAUUAAGCACCAAGUAAUGACUUUAACUUGCAGUUAGUUAAUAAUACACAGAUGGUCACGCAGCUGUAAAGAAAGCUGCUUGGGACAUUAGCAGAUAUGCUGGCACACAGGAACUGGAAUCGGGCGUACUAUGAGUCCUGUGGGCCCAGCUCUGGGUGGGAGGAAGAGGACUUCUGAGUCAAAAGUCAGUCAAUGAUUUGCCUGCAGGAAUAGGUAGAAACUUGAGGGAGGUCUUUCCCAGAGAAAUCUGAAUGACUUCUAAGUUUCUCCAAUGGUUUGUAAGUUAUUUUUUCACUUCUAGCCCAGCAAAAAAGGGUUUUAUAAACUUAACAGAAUUUGCAUUCCAUAUGAGAUUUACCGAAUGACCUUGACUCAGAAGUUCUUUUCUGCCUUGCAAGAAGCUAUAAUUGUCCCAAGUUCUAUGAGCCACUUAACUCAGCUAAUUUCUUGGCACUUAAUGAUCCCAAGCUAAGACCUUCAGACGUUACAUUUUAGAAAUGAAAAGAAAAUAAAGCCCUAGGAUUUGAUGGAAACCAAUGGUACGUCUCUCUGAAAGUCUGCAGGCCACGCAAGCAAUCAUAUAAACAGAAAAAUGAAAGUUAUCUUAUAUUCUAGUGGAUGGGUUGAAAAUCAAUGGCCCAGCAGAUUUGUGAUUAAAAUUUGUUUAAGCCUCUAAAAAGGAGGAAUGGAAAGUUGUUAGGAGGCUGAAAAUCCUUCCUCUUUUACAGAACAGCUUUUUACAUAUUUUCCCAAUUCUCUUUACUGAUAUCUGAAAGCGAGGGCCAGGCAGAGAAAAGGGUUCACACAGUGAAAAAUCUCUGCUGACCUGCCUGGAGGCUUCAUGCCUGAGGAGUAGACUACUUGAGGUCAUUCAAGGCUCCACACAUUCACACUGUGACUCUUUUUUGUCAUCUCAAGUGUCCAUGUACCUCCUUUGGUUCACAUGCGAAAUGGGUAUCAAAGAACUAUGUACUUCAUGGUGACAACUUCUUAAACGGAUGGCAAACAUUCCUGGCAUAUGUAGGUUGGAGAUCACAUCAGUGCCAUCAUUACUUCUCUCAGGUGUUUGUGGCUGGUUACUGUUUCUCAAGGAUGCUGGUUAAGUCAGUCAUAAACUUUUGCACUGCUUAUUGAAUAGAAUGGCAACAAGGAAUUAUGUUAUUACUAGGCUUUGGGGCAAUGUAAUAAUGUGCUUACACAAACAGGCACACACCCCAUUACAGGACUAAUGAUGAGCUGAAGACAGAGAGGAAACUUAAGAGAAGGGAAGCUUCAGAAUGGGAUUAAUCAACAACUCCAAGGCAAAAUCAUGCUAUGCUUAUGUUUUCUGAAAAUAUUGACUUUAAAAAAUUAAACAUGGGGCUAAAACAAUGUCAUUGUCCCCAUAAUAGUCUAUGUGAUUAUUUCAGAUCAGAUGGAAUGCAGAAUAACAGAGAAAAGGUGCCCCAUGGAGAGUGUUGUACCCCUUCUCACCUUCAGAAAGGGCACUUGUGCAUGGUAGGAGGCUUGCUCUUUUUAUUUAGCUUCAACCCUAUCACCAAUGAUAAUGUUACACCCCCCCACACACACUGCUUCUUGCUCAAACACAUGCACUCAUAACUACUGGUAGCAGGAAAAGGUCUCUGUUUCUUCUUCCUGUGGAUUUUCAAAGCCAUUAUAGGCUUCUCCAAAAUACUUUGGGGCAGGGAGAGAAGUCUGAAUCCAGCAGAGUUGAAAAUGCAGGGAUCGAGAGAAUACAGAAUACAAGGCAGAGAAGAAGCCAUGAUUCCUUAAGGACAAUGCUGAGUUGGUGCUGGAAAUCAGGAAUCCUUCACUGAGCAAGUGAUAACUGUUUCAAACAGAGUCAUCUGGGAGCUGACCAAGGAGCCAAAUAGUAAAACUUUGAUGUGAAAUCUUUGUACAUAUGGUCCUACAAUAGGAGCAUGAAAGUGUUCCCUCACACAAACAGACGGUGUCAGGCAAAACCUUGACUAUAUCUGAUGGCAUGUUUACUGACCAUGCAAAUUUGGAGUUGAGCUUUGUGGGAGAUUAGAUUAUCAUUUGGCAAAUAUUCACUCCCUGUCCUCCCUAGCUCCAGCCCCUGUGUCCCUCCAUCCCUCCCUCCCCAGCUGAUGUUGGGCUUGGCCAUGGGACCUGCUUUGCCUGAUGGGAGAUUAGUAGACAUGACACAGCAGGGAGUGGAAAUGUGCAUGUGCUGUUGGGUGGCCUUUCUUCUACUUUUGCCAUGAGAAGAAAAUGUAAUCGCUAGUCUGGUGGUCUAACGAGGGGGAAGAAAACAUAAGGAGUCAAUCUGGACCAAGUGUAUAGCCUGAGAUCAAAUCCAAAUAUCUGAAGGAGAUUGUUUUUUAAAAUUACAGAGUUUGAGGGUGGUUUGUCAUAUAACAUUACUGUAGCUCUAGCUAUCAGAUACAAGAAGAACUGAUGAAGGAGCAAGUAAAGGAGGCAAGGAAUUUUCACUGUGCAGUAUCAGUAAGGCACAGUAAGUGAGGGAGAUGGUAAAGUCUCCAGCAGGGACUUGAAGAGGCCUGGAGAGAGGAGCUACUGUAUAGAGCAUUGACUCUGUGCAUGGCAAAAUGAGACUCUUGCUUAAUGUAGAUCGAGGUCAGCAUUUGGGACCAUUCUGUGUACAACUUAAUAUGUGUCAGUAUCCAUGAGAGCACUUAUUUUGGGGGUGAGGAGAAAGUAUGUGUUAGUUUCUUUAUUUUUUGUUUUGUAUAGGCUUAGAAGGAGGACAUGGACAUGGAGAAUGAAGGACAUACUCUAGCCUCUUCCAGCAGCUGAUUCCUAAGGCUGAGUUAUUAUCUAAUGGGGAUAAGGGUGAGGGCCAGAAGCCAAAGUGAUUUUCGUAACAGUAUGAUUACCUGGACCCCAAGGCAGCCCUUCUUGUACAUACCAAAGUAUGGCACAGAAGUAGAAUGGGGAUCAUUUUCCUCCACUCCCUUGAGCACCCAGAGUCAGCUCUGGCUCCUCAAAACUUGGUGGGUUGGGCCAAUGUUGCAUGUGUUUUAAGCACUGUGCUCUCACCAUGAGCAUUACCAUCUGGUGCUACAGGGAGCUUCCUGUCAGCCUGUUCUGAGUGGAGGUCUAGAGCGGGGAGGAUGGAGUGGGACUGUAUGGAUGCCUGAGUGGCGGGUGUGUGAGGAGACGAGACACUAUUUGGGGACUUCCAGGAACACAUAGGAGGACUUGGCAGGGGACUAGCAGGGUGGGGACAAGAGAAAGAAAUUUGAGACAAUAUUAAUGGGAGCUCAUCUGAACACCCAUGCUGAUGAAAGACAUUCCAGUUACUUUAUACAUGAGGUUAAAGGUCCAGCUGGCCCAAUUCCUAGCUGCCAAUACUCUUGAAACUAUCAUGAUGAUGCUGGGGGACAUGGAACUCUCUUCAAUUGCACAUUGGGCCCAACAGAUGACUCAACCCCUGGAAGAGGAGCAUCUAAGGUCCUCAAGAAAUGUGCGCUGCCAAUGGGUUAUGUCGAGAGUGUGUAUCACCCUCCCCACACCAUCGCUGUUCGCCAUCUUGCAGCAUCGCGGGGAGCUGCGAUUGCCCUCUUGGGCAUAGACAUAUAACAGCAAGGAAUACAUCACCCUCUGGACUCCAUAGUGGGUCCCUGCAGAAUAAUAUUGUUCCAGGCAGAAAUCAAGAGACACUUGGUGCUGAUUUGUGCUGCAGCUUCACACAGUAUAAACAGAAGCCGCCAGGGCUGUCCACUCAGCAUUUCUUUUCGGGCAUAGAAAAAAGAAAUGUUUUCCUUUUUAAAAGCAAAGAUGGAAGAAGGGCAUUUUCAGUGCAGGCUGCAGCUCUUUAUAACAUAAACUGCUUGGCCCAGGGGAAUUGAAAUGGAUGAAGCAUAUGCAAAGUCAGAUAAUGAAUGGAGCUUGGGUAAAAAGUAAUGUUAAAAGAAAUUGCUUUUUUUUUUUUUGGUAUCUGUAGUGAUGUUUGUUUAACUUCAACUUGGCCAGUGGUCCCAAUCUCAUUGACACUGAACAUUUGGGAGAGAGGACAGUAAUAUCUUUGUGAUCUGACAAUGAGCACAAUAGGAUUUCUUAUUUUUAAUUUAUGUGUAAAACAAAUUUUCUAUUGGAUACUCAUUGUAGGAAUUUCAAGGACCAUCAUUUGUUACACAUGAGAAGUGAAGCUACCACAUUUGCAGCUCACUGGUAGAACUCAGAGACACCACUUCCAUCCUCUAGGAUGCUAAGUUGGUUAGAUUAUUAAUGGACUGUGGAAAGAGGAACAAAGACAGAAUGGUAGACAAUCCCAGUUUAGACCUGAGCCAUGGCUUGUGGACCUGGGCCAGCCUUUUGCAUUCUCUGGGCCUUCUGAUUUCUGGGCCACAAAAGGGAUUACUUGUGUAUUGUAAACUAUGAACACUUAGCCCUGGAAGCCUGGGGUAACUGAGGUCCUGAGUUAAACAUCAGUCUGACUCCUAAAAGCAGCC